rnacentral:tRNA from 1 species
UUCUAAAUAAUUUAAAUUAAAAUUUUAAUUUUGGAGAUUAAAAAUAAGCCUGGCUUUUUAGAAA